GUGUCAGCAGCCGCGGUAAUACAGAGGGUGCAAGCGUUAAUCGGAAUUACUGGGCGUAAAGCGUGCGCAGUCGGUUAUUUAAGUCGGAUGUGAAAUCCCCGGGCUCAACCUGGGAAUUGCAUUCGAUACUGGAUAGCUAGAGUUCGGCAGAGGGAAGUGGAAUUUCAGGUGUAGCGGUGAAAUGCGUAGAUAUCUGAAGGAACAUCAGUGGCGAAAGCGACUUCCUGGACCAGAACUGACGAUCAGGCACGAAAGCGUGGGGAGCAAACAGGAUUAGAUACCCCCGUAGUCC
rnacentral:rRNA from 1 species